rnacentral:rRNA from 1 species
AAAUAAAACCUUGCUAAAAAAAUUAAUUGUUAAUAAUGAGGGUUUAAUAAAAUUAUUUUUAACCUUAUUCGUUAAGUAGAGUGAAUCGAAAAACAACUGUUGUUUGGCUAUAGAAAAGAGUACUGUGAGGGAAAGGUGAAAUAGAUUGAAAAAUUAAUUUGAUCAAAGUAGUUAUUUAAGUUCGUACCUUGUGUAUUAGGGAAAAUUAAACUUAGCUUAGAAUAAAGUUCUCCCGAAAAAAAAAGAGUUAAUUUAAAAUUAAAGUUCUCGUUUUAAUGAGAUUUAAAAUUUUAUUUUAGUGGUGAAAUGCCAGUCGAUUUUUUAUAUCUGGUUGUUAACGAAUUAAAUUUAAUUUAUCGGGUUAGUGGAAAUAUAUUCUACAUACUUAGAAAGAAAAGGAGGGAAAAGCUUCUUUUUCUAUAAUAGAUAAUUUAUAAUUAAUUAUAAAUAGAGUGUUAAGCUAGGCUUGAAAGCAGCCAUGCUGAUAAAGCGUUCUAGCUAAUUUAAGUUAGGUGAUAAUAUUUAUAUAUGGGUUUAAAAAGGUAGUUAACAUUUUUACAUAAUAUUGGUGUAAGAGUUAAACUGAUUUUAUUAGUAGAAAUUUUUAUAAUGAAUAAAUCUUGAAAUAUAGAAAAAUUUAUAGUAGAUGUAGGGUGUCGAUUAAGGAACUCGGCAAAUAUUACUUUUGCCUGUUUAUCAAAAACAUGUCUGUAUGGUUGUUAUAUAGAGUCUGGCCUGCCCACUGAUAUUAAUUGAAGGGCCGCGGUAUCUUGACCGUGCGAAGGUAGCAUAAUCAUUAGUCUUUUAAUUGAAGGCUUGUAUGAAUGGUCGGACAAAAAGUAAGCUGUCUCAUCCACAGAGUUUGAAUUUAACUUUUAAGUGAAAAGGCUUAAAUGUUCUAGGGGGACGAUAAGACCCUAUAAAGCUUUACAAUAACCAAGAUGCACUAAGAUUUGUUAGUAUAAUUUGGUCUAUUUGGGGUUUGUUUCGUUGGGGCGACGAGAAUAUAAAUUAAAUAACUGUUCUUUUUAGAUAUACAAUAUUAAUUGGUUAAAAAUUGAUCCUUUAUUAAAGAUUACAAGAUUAAGUUACUUUAGGGAUAACAGCGUAAUCUUCUUUGAGAGUCCAGAUCGACAAGAAGGGUUGCGACCUCGAUGUUGAAUUAAGGGAUCCUUGUGGUGCAGCAGUUACAGAGGAAGGUCUGUUCGACCUUUAAAUCCUUACAUGAUUUGAGUUCAGACCGGCGUAAGCCAGGUCGGUUUCUAUCUCCUAGUUUUAAUAAACCACUUUAGUACGAAAGGAUUGAGUGGUUGGAAUAGUUCUUUGAGAGGGGCUAAUAUUAACU